rnacentral:rRNA from 1 species
GACGUAGGGGGCCAGCGUUGUUCGGAAUUACUGGGUGUAAAGGGUUCGUAGGCGGUGCGGCAAGUUGGGAGUGAAAUCUCUGGGCUUAACCCAGAGGCUGCUUCCAAAACUGCUGUGCUUGAGUGUGGGAGAGGCGCGUGGAAUUGCAGGUGUAGCGGUGAAAUGCGCAGAUAUCUGCAGGAACACCCGUGGCGAAAGCGGCGCGCUGGACCACUACUGACGCUGAGGAACGAAAGCUAGGGGAGCAAACAGG